rnacentral:pre_miRNA from 1 species
AGAAGAGUUCGCCAAGACCUGGUCCCAGCAGACUGAGGAUAGUACCUCAGUGGUCACUUUACAGUUUGCUGAGGUUGGAGCUGCUAAGA